rnacentral:rRNA from 1 species
GAUUAGCCAUGCCUGUCUCAGUAUAAGUCUACCUAUGUCGAAACUGCGAAUGGCUCAUUAAAACAGUUAUAACUCGCUCGAUUAUUUACUAAUAUUUGGAUACCUGUGGUAAUUCUAGAGCUAAUACAUGCGUAAAGGCGUGACUUCUUGGAGACGCUGCACAUAUUAGAUACAGAACCAAUCUGCGUAGCAGAAUUUGGAUGACUCAUGAUAUACGUACGGAGCGCAUGACUUGUGUCGGCGCUGCAUCGUCCAUGUUUCUGACCUAUCAGCUUUCGACGGUAGGGUAUUGGCCUACCGUGGCAUUGAUGGGUGACGGAGAAUUAGGGUUCGACUCCGGAGAGGGAGCCCGAGAAACGGCUACCACAUCUAAGGAAGGCAGCAGGCGCGUAAAUUACCCAAUCCUGAUACAGGGAGGUAGUGACAAGAAAUAACAAAGCAGGCCUGUAAUCAGGUCUUGCUAUUGGAAUGAGCAAAAUAUAAAUCACUUUACGAUUAUCAAUUGGAGGGCAAGUCUGGUGCCAGCAGCCGCGGUAAUUCCAGCUCCAAUAGCGUAUAUUAAAGUUGCUGCGGUUAAAAAGCUCGUAGUUGGAUUUCUGUUGAAGACGAUCGGUCCGCUCUAUGAGCGUGUAUCUGGCCCGGCUUUGGCAUCUUCGUAGGGGGCGUUACUGUGCUUGAUUGCAUGGUGCGAGACUUAUGACAUUUACUUU